AGAUCCCUACAUCAUCAUUAAAUUUGUUUGGUGAGAAGCUGAUGAUUAGUUAGCACCAUGAGUAGAUUUUCAAUGAGCAGAUGUUCUGUGAGCAGACAACCCAUGAGCAGACAAUUCAUGAGUAGCACCAUGAGUAGAUUUUCAAUGAGCAGAUGUUCUGUGAGCAGACAACCCAUGAGCAGACAAUCCAUGAACAGACGAUCCAUAAGCAGAGAACUCAUGAGCAGACAAACAUAUGAGCAGAUAACCCGUGAGCAGACGAUCCAUGAGCAGAUAACCCAUGAGCAGACGAUCCAUAAGCAGAUAACCUGUGAGCCUGUGGACACAACCAACAGUCAGGAGGUGCCGGAAGUUUUUCCGGCGAGAACCCUCCGACGCUCAAGUCAGCGAUUCGGGUCUUAUUUGGAAAAACCCAUACCACAAUUCAUGUGGCUUAAUUAUGAUUGCCUUAAACAAAAAGCUUUUAAGUAAA
rnacentral:lncRNA from 1 species